AAUAGAUGACGCUGUUGACUUUUUCUCACAUGUUAGACCAUUCGUUUUAUUCAAAAAGUUUACGUAAUUAUAAUUUAUUUUGUUAUAAGUAGUUUUAUCACUCAUAAUACUUUAAGUGUGACUUAUAUCUUAUACAUUUGCAUAAAAUUUUUGAAUAAGACGAAUGAUCAAACAUGUGAGAAAAAGUCAACGGCGUCAUAUAUU
rfam:Oryza sativa (indica cultivar-group) chromosome 2, whole genome shotgun sequence.